rnacentral:misc_RNA from 1 species
AAAUGCGAUAAGUAGUGUGAAUUGCAGAAUUCAGUGAAUCAUCGAAUCUUUGAACGCACAUUGCGCCCUUUGGUAUUCCAAAGUGCAUGCCUGUUCGAGCGUCAUUUGUACCCUCAAGCUUUGCUUGGUGUUGGGCGUCUUGUCUCUAGCUUUGCUGGAGACUCGCCUUAAAGUAAUUGGCAGCCGGCCUACUGGUUUCGGAGCGCAGCACAAGUCGCACUCUCUAUCAGCAAAGGUCUAGCAUCCAUUAAGCCUUUUUUCAACUUUUGACCUCGGAUCAGGUAGGGAUACCCGCUGAACUUAAGC